CUCUUCCUGAAACAAUCUUCUUCUUCUCCACUCUUUCUCUCUCUCAAAUCUUAAAAUAAAAAUCUAAGAAAAUAAGAAAAAGGGCUUUUGAGUUGCUGCUGCCUACCACUGCUUGCUGCUGCCUGUUCUCUCCUUACUUCCCUGUAGUUUGCUAUUUUUAUAGUCAAAAACUAGGUUGAAAUCGGAUAGAAAUCAGAUUUCUAUUUGUGUUCAAAGUCCUCAACCCAUGCCAGCCAUCAGAUCGAGAUCAAAUGGCUAAAAUCCAGCCUCAAAAUAACUCAGAUCAAGUCGGCAGCCUUUCCAACCGUUGGAUCGAUCUUCAGAUUAAAUUACAACCAUUGGAUCGUGCACAGGAUCAUCCCAAACUCCUUUCAGCCAAGAACUACUAUGGACCGUCCGAUCAAGCCCCUGAUGGAUGUCAGUUGUCCGAGAGUGCACAAG
rnacentral:lncRNA from 1 species